CAUUAAUAUACACUAACGUGUAUAUACGGCCGUUUCAAUUUUUGAUUUUCCAUUAGAAAAAAUGUUCCGCCGCCUAGUGCAUAUUGUGGCGCCCUCAAACGACAGAUCUCGUGCUAUUUCUGUCAAAUUAAUUGUCGAGUUGAAACAUGGUUGAAACUGACAUUGACAACAAAUUUUACUCGAAGCAUAAAAAAAAGCAGUUUGGUUCAGAUAAUAAGGUUUUUUUUUUAAUUUUAUCACAAAACACAGUUUAAAAUUUAAUGCAAAUCUCUUGACAGAAUCUGUGGUCUCCAAGCAAAGAUUGCUGAGAACUGGCUUUACAGUCGUUUUGAUUAUAUAUUUGCACACAGAAUCCCUGUGAUUUGCACAGACGAAAAUGGGAUUUUGCACAAGAAAUGGCAACAUUUGCUGGAUGCUUUCAGCUAUCAGCUGAAUAAUACCAACAAAGAUAUCUUUGGGAUAGACUAAACCUCCUCGGUUUUGAAUGGCAAUCAAUUGUAGCAAAGGACCUGGAAUGCUAGUACAUAAUAGAGGUGUUAAACAUUCAUCACAAUGAAAUAAAUCUUCUAAUUUUUUUAUUAUGUAUCCUGCCAAGAAAGCUACUGAUGCUGAGAAAAUAUUAUUAUCAGCAGUGUUUGAGGAAUGGGAAGCUUUAACAAUCCCACAACGAAGAAUUUGCCUUAAUGCAUAAUCUGCAGCUCUGGCAUCUGUGGCAUCAUUAGAACCACCUUUCAGUCUUACAUGUGAAAACAUGGCCUCUACUGCGUCUGAGCUGAAGGAUCGCGUUACAACAUAAUAGAAGCCAACCUGGCUUAGCAAAAAAUUUACACAGAGUAAGACCUUUAAAUCCAACAUCUACAGAAGUCUUCUGGAUAUCGUCAAUAUACUUUGGAAAUGUGACAUUUAACCAGUCAAGACGUUCAUCUGAAAUAUGCACAUAUGGUGCAAUA